AGCCCCGGACGGAAGUUCGGGGUUUUUCUGUGGUGCGCCCGGCGGAGCGAGAAGUCAGCAGAGGUUGUAGUAGCCGUAUCCGCGGCGAAGGAC
rfam:Sinorhizobium meliloti 1021 plasmid pSymB